UACAGAGGUCUCAAGCGUUGUUCGGAUUCAUUGGGCGUAAAGGGUGUGUAGGUGGCGCCGUAAGUCGGGUGUGAAAUUUCGGAGCUUAACUCCGAAACUGCAUUCGAUACUGCGGUGCUUGAGGACUGGAGAGGAGACUGGAAUUCAUGGUGUAGCAGUGAAAUGCGUAGAGAUCCGGAAGAACACCGGUGGCGAAGGCGGCCUGCUGGGCAGUUGCUGACACUGAGGCGCGACAGCGUGGGGAGCAAACAGG
rnacentral:rRNA from 1 species